ensembl:lncRNA
CCCCCCCCCCCCCCCCCCCGCAUCCUUUAUCCUGCAGGAGAGGAGCUGCAUCCUUUAUCCUGCAUGAGUGAGAGGAGCUGCAUCCUUUAUCCUGCAGGUGUGCUAGGAGCUGCAUCCUUUAUCCUGCAGGAGUGGGAGGAGCUGCAUCCUUUAUCCUGCAGGUGUGAGAGGAGCUGCAUCCUUUAUCCUGCAGGAGAGGAGCUGCCUCCUUUAUCCUGCAGGAGUGAUAGGAGCUGCAUGCUUUAUCCUGCAGGUGUGAGAGGAGCUGCUCCCUGAGAGCAUUCCCAGCCCAGCCUCAGCCUCAUCUGCUGCUUCCAGGGUGCUGAAGGACAGAAGUGCUUUUACACAGCACUGAUCAAGGCUGCCAGAACAUUUUAAUCCCUCUCCCCUCCCUUUUCAAGGUAGAAUGUCAUUUGCUAAAGCGACCAGAACCUGAGAUGGUUCCAAGCUGUGCACACUGGUACAACUUCCUGAGCAAACUCAGGAAAAAAAAAUUACUUUUCCUGGAUAAAUUGAAUUGUUCUUGCUACUGAAUUCUCCUGGAAGGCUUCCCUUUCCACCCUCCCACCCCUGGCUGUCCCAGUGCCAUGACCUGGUUACACACUGGGCACUGGAUGUGUCCAAAUGGCACUCAUGAGGCUUUGGGGACACUGUGCUCAUCUCCCUGUUCCCCCCACAGUCUCUGAUUUCUCGUGGCUGCAGCCCCUGGGAGCAGGGGCUGGGCACAAAUAAUGAGAUACUCCAGAACCUGUGGUCUGGGAGGAGGGAAAUGCCUGUGUGUGACAGCAUCUGCAGGAACAGUAACUGCAGGUGGAUGGGGGUGGCACACUGAGAAAUGGGGGCACUAGUGAUGGGAAUGAAACUGGGAACACUGGGGAAAGCCCCAUUCCCAGCAGGCUGAAGGACAGAGCCAUGCCCAGCCCCGGCACGAUUUCAAGGACACCAGCUCCACACCCUUUCCAAGAACGAUUAGUUACUGCAAACGAAGAGGAAUCCAAGAAAGAUGGAAAGGCCCAGCUAUUUUGGAGGGCUUGCCUCAUUGCUGGGAUGAUCCCGAGCAGCCUGGGACACAGGCCUUGGCACAGCAGCGCGUGGGUGGCGGUGGGGGAAGUCCAGGAGCAGGAAUCCAGCUGCCCUGGCAGCAGAGUCCCUUUCCCAGCCCCGAGGUCUCCACUGAACCCUGCUGCACCUGCAGGGCCGGGCUGGGGCUCGCCCAGGGGGAUGUGCGGGCACACAGGGCUUCUCUGCAGCCUGGUGAGAUGGCAGGCAAGCCCAGAGGAAAUCACAGCUUUCCAGUUUCCAGGGAACUGGGGGGGAAAGCUGUGGUUAACAGCCGGAAUGUCGCUCCCUGAAGUCCCAGCUGCAAAGUUUCCUGCAUUUCUCAUUCCUCAGGGGAGCCCUUGCAGAAGAUGUUGUGGGAACAGAGGAUGCAGGGGAGACCUCCCAGCUGUGCAUGCAGUGGAACAACGAGCCACCACAGGCAGAUCCCAGUGGGCUCAGAACCCGCUGCUGACCCAGGUCCUGGAAGGUGAUGGCAGCUUCCACACACACCCCACAUCCCCGCACAAACCUGCAGCUUUCACUUAGAGGCAGCUCUUGAGCCACAGGACACCACUCGUGGUCUGGGUACGGUUAAAUAAUGGAAAGGAGGGAGAAAUCAGGCAGAAAAUGUGCAUAUUAAUAAUGAAUAUGGCAGGAGAAAUAAUUGAACGGGAGCAAAGGCAUAAUAAUGAAUAUGGCAGGAGAAAUAACUGAACGGGAGCAAAGGCAGGGGUGAAACAAAGAGAGAGGGAAAGACAGGGGGCACGGGAGCCCUCCCAGGCACAUGGGCUUGGCUCUCUGGAAACAGCUCCAGUGCCACCAGGAGGGUGGGAGCAGCGGGGGUGCCAGGGGAGCUGUAGGUUCCCACUUUCUGAGGGGGAAAAACAAGAAUGAUUUUUAAAAAAUGACAUGCUUCUGCUGUGCCCUGUGUGCCUGCUAUUGCUCCUCCUUCCUUCCCAGUCACACAAAACCAUCUCAGCUGGUCAGCUCAGUGAGGAUUUGGGGCUGCUGCUCCUGGGGCUGCCGUCCAGCUCCCUGCACUUCAUUCCCCUCAGACUUCUCCAGACACAGCAAUAAUAAGUGAGCUCAAAGUCCUGAAGCCAGGAAUAAAUCAUGACACGGGUGACACUUGUAAUUGAGAGUUUCUUAAUUGCUGCGUUUGAUUAAAGAGAGCUGCCGGCUUUGUGCAUAAAAGGCAGAGAUCCAGAAACCCGGGGUAGGAAGAAAAGAGGAUGAGAAGAUGAUGGGAACAGAAAAAAGCCAGAUCAAGGAGGAGAAAGACUCGGGAGAAAUCUUGUUGGAGUACCAGAGAUAAGGGAGACAAAAAUAGAACGAGCGGCUUCACUUGUGACUACAUCCAUGUUUAUUUCUGCCCUCGUGGGGCAGGAAUACGGGGCUUUGUGCUCUCCUGGUGUGAAAUGCAGCAGCUGUUUAGCACCACAAAGCACCAAAGAUAAAGGCAGCAUAUCAAAAAGAACUAAAACGACGGGGAAAUUGCUUUUUUUUGUUGUUGGAAUAAGCGCCAGGGGAACAGGAAAACCUUUCAUCAGAACUUUGGUGGAUGCUCUGCCGGGAGGGCAAUGCUCCAAGAAGGCAGGAGCUGCAGCCUGCGGUGCCAGGAGCGGCUCCUGCCAAGGGCAGGACACAUCCCUGUGCAGCUCAGGCCCUUUCUGGAGGGGAAAUCCCUUCCCGGGUGCCAUCCCCUCCCACGGCCCUUUCCCAGGGGAGCAGGGUGGGCGAGGGGCCCAGAGAGGGGCCAGCAUGGGACGGGACGUGUGCACCCUUCUCAGGCCUUCCUCUCCUCCUGCCCAUCGCUCCCUCCACUUCCAGAGGAAUUGCCCAGAGCAGGAGCCUGGCUCUGUCCCGGCUGGAUGGCGUGGAUGGGAAUGGCAACGCUGCUUAAAGGCUGCAAGGGUGAGCCUGGCUCAGGUGAGCCUGGCUCAGGUAAGCCCUCCGUCCUGUACAGAGCUGGUGAGCCUGGCUCAGGUGAGCCCUCCGUCCUGUACAGAGCUCUUCCAGCUCAGAUGACCUUUUUUUGUCCUUGUGGGACCUCCUCAGCGCUGACCUCACUGCUCCCAGGUGGAAGCUGGAGGUUUGGUGACGCUGCAGGAAUAAAAACACUCCAUUUCCUCCUGCUUUCAUUGCUGUCCUGGCUGCCGUCUCCAGGCAGCUCUGGGCAAGUCUGCCCUGAAUGGAAAUAAUACCCCUGCUGUGGGCCAGUGGAAAGGGAGGAGGAGGAGGAGAGCUUUGCAGAGCUGGUGCCUGGGCUGGGGGCCAUGGUGGGGCAGGCCAGCUCUGACACUGGGCACUUCCACAAAUUAAUGCACAAACAGCUCCAGCUGCAGCCAAAACCCUCAGGAGACCCCGAGAGCUGCCUUGCACUGCCUGGUACAGGGGCUUUCAACACGCUGCCAGUGCACCUGGGUGGAAAUCUGACCCUGAGAAAUCUUUGCCUGGAGCUAAAACAGCCUCAAGAGGGUGGAAAUCUGACCCUGAGAAAUCUUUGCCUUGAGCUAAAACAGCCUCAAGGGUGCAAAACUUGGGGUGCUCUCCGAAGAGCUUUUUUUCCUUCCCGUUAAAAAUCCCUCAAAUACAGGGUAUGGUUUUAAUGAAAAACAGCUCCCCGACAAUAAUCUGCAGCACAGGCUCGUGAAAUUUCCAGACUCAUUAAUUUAGAGACUCAUCACCCAAAAAAACCGGGGGUUUGGUGAUUUCUAAUGAUUUCUAAUGGUUUCCUUUGUGAACAGGGAGUCUAAUUGAGCUGCUUUGUUCCUACAGCUCCCAACUGCUUCCGACUGAUGGGCUUUUUCCCCGGAUCACUUAUGUCUGUCCCUCCUUAAGCUUUGACAAAUGUGAGGGCUUCUGGCACAGACAAAUGGCUGGAGAGCAUCUUCAUUUCCUUGCUCUUGUCACAUCCUCAGCCCUCCUUUCUGUGGCAGCAGUGUCCCCAGGAGCUCCAGCGAGGCUGGGGGAGGACCCCCCCCCCCCCCCCCCCCCCCCCCCCCCCCCCCCCCCCCCCCCCCCCCCCCCCCCCCCUCCAUGACCCUGCUGGGAAGCAGCACCGUUCCCAGAAGCUGCCGGCCUUUCCACACCCAAAGGGCUGCAGGAAGGGGGGCACAGACGUUUGAGUGGCCAGAGGACAGGGGGGAAGGCUUUGAACUGAGAGGGGGAAGCUGCGGAGCAGAGAAGAGGAUUUUUUGCUGGGCACAGGCUGCCCGGAGAGGUGGCGGCUGCCCCUGGAGCCACCCGAGGAGAGGCUGGGCAGGGCUCUGAGCGGGCUGGUCCGGGGGAAGGGUGCCCGGCCUUUCCCAGGCGCCUGGUGCAGGAGCAGCGCCCGGCUCAGCAUCCCAGGGCAGCCCAAAGGCAGCUCGAGUGGCAGGAACACGGAUCCCCCCCCCCCCCCCCCCCCCCCCCCCCCCCCCCCCCCCCCCCCCCCCCCCCCCCCCCCCCCCCCCCCCCUCCCCUGGCAGGAACACGGAUCGCCGGAGCCAGGGGAACUCGAGCCCCCGGGAAGCGUCGGUGUCACUCGAUCCGGAGGGAGGACGCUGAGAGGAGACGGUGUCAGCCCUCCGGUUAUGCACAAGGUCAUUGCCGGGGGGGAUGGAGCUUCCAGGCGCUGCAGCAGAGCCGUGGCCCGAAAUUCCAGCGGGAGGGGGUCAGCCAGGAGGGGUCUCCUCGCACUGACCCCUUCUGGGGACGCUCUCUCGCGAGUGGGCAGCUCAGGGGCCCUGGAAGGAUCAAUCCCCAGCGAAGGUGUUGGCAAAAGUGCUUUUGGUAUCACCUCGGGAAAAGGCAGUGAAAGCUCACGGCAAGGGUCCCUGGGUGUUAUCCACAUGGUCCCUGCUCCAGGCUGGCCCACGGGCCACUCUCUGCUCUGGGGCAUUCCUGGAGGAAUUCCUGGCUUUGGGCUCUGUGCACCGCCCAUUAAAAUGGAGAGAAAACCAAAGAGAGUCAUUAGCAGCUGAGCAGAGGGUCAGAAAGCAGGUUAUUGACUUGCUUUAUCACAGCUCCGAAAUCCCCCUAAGAAUAGAGCACUUUAGAUUAACUGGGGGGGAAAAUGGAUCGGAAAGUUGCAAUUAAGCUGAUGUCAUAAUUUUGGGAGAAAAAAACAGGUGUUCUGCUACAGCUGUAGUUCUCUCCCUGACUUUAAUUGGUGUGCCAGUCCCAGUUGUCUGUAUUGAUAAAAUGCUGUCCAUUUAAAAAAUGUAUAAUUAGCAUUGGUUUAAUAGGUACAAACAUUUUAAAGGGACAAAAAAAAAUGAUUAAAACCCAGAAAAACUUCAACACUUUUUUUUUUUUUUUUCCUUCAACCUU